AUUGAACGAUGGCGGCAGGCCUAACACAUGCAAGUCGAACGAGUGGCGGACGGGUGAGAAAUGUCUGGGAAACUGCCCGAAGGAAGGGGAUAACUACUGGAAACGGUAGCUAAUACCGCAUACCAUCGGAUGUUCGCAGAUGGGAUUAGCUUGUAGGUGAGGUAACGGCUCACCUAGGCGACGAUCCCUAUCUGGUCUUAGAGGAUGACCAGCCCCACUGGAACUGAGACACGGGCCAGAAUCCUACGGGAGGCAGCAGUGGGGAAUAUUGCACAAUGGGCGCAAGCCUGAUGCAGCCAUGCCGCGUGUAUGAAGAAGGCCUUCGGGUUGUAAAGUACUUGCAGCGGGGAGGCGUUACCCGCAGAAGAAGCACCGGCUAACUCCGUGCCAGCAGCCGCGGUAAUAC
rnacentral:rRNA from 1 species